rnacentral:rRNA from 1 species
UACGUAGGGUCCGAGCGUUGUCCGGAAUUAUUGGGCGUAAAGGGCUCGUAGGCGGUUUGUUGCGUCGGGAGUGAAAACUUACAGCUUAACUGUGAGCGUGCUUCCGAUACGGGCAGACUUGAGGUAUUCAGGGGAGAACGGAAUUCCUGGUGUAGCGGUGAAAUGCGCAGAUAUCGGGAGGAACACCAGUAGCGAAGGCGGCACUCUGGGCCGGUACUGACGCUGAGGAGCGAAAGCGUGGGGAGCGAACAGG